UCUGAUUGGUGCCUACUCGGUAGUUUGCGCGGACUUGUGCUCAAGUUUAGGGUAAAACGACCAACACAAUUUACUGGACAUGAGGAACAUUCUACUGAAUGAUGGGAAGACAAAUAAAGAAGCUACAGGUACGCCCUCUUUUCAAGCAUAGGGGAGGAUUUACAGGGCCGUGAGAGCUUUUUUACGAUCUCCACACCGGAAUUCCUGCUUGUCUUCCUUCUACCUGUGUGACAUCAACUACACAAAACAGAGAUCAUGAA